rnacentral:rRNA from 1 species
GGGCCCGCACAAGCGGUGGAGUAUGUGGUUUAAUUCGAUGCAACGCGAAGAACCUUACCAGGGUUUGACAUCCUGCGAAUCUCUUGGAAACGAGAGAGUGCCUUCGGGAACGCAGUGACAGGUGGUGCAUGGCUGUCGUCAGCUCGUGUCGUGAGAUGUUGGGUUAAGUCCCGCAACGAGCGCAACCCACGUCUUUAGUUGCCAGCAUUUAGUUGGGCACUCUAGAGAGACUGCCGGUGAUAAACCGGAGAAGGUGUGGAUGACGUCAAGUCAUCAUGCCCCUUACGGGAUGGGCUACACACGUGCUACAAUGGCAGUGACAAUGGGUUAAUCCCCCAAAAGCUGUCUCAGUUCGGAUUGAGGUCUGAA